UUUCCAGUCAAAUCAAAACAGCCUAAACGCCAUUACUAUUUCCAACUCUUCAUUUCAAAAACGUCAGGUCUGUUCAGAGGAUAGCAACUUCCAUGAAAUUUUCUUUAUUUUCUAUCUUUGCUGUUUCAUUUCGCCUUCAACAACUCUCUUCAGUUUGGAUUUUGUGGCCAUCUUACUUCUGGAGCAGUUUCGUUCAGCGUCUCCCUCACCAGAGUCGACUUUGAAACUUUAAUCACACCAUUCUGAUCCCGAUCUACUAUUCCUGACGCCGAUCUGAAAUUACUGGUAUCAAAGGCUGCAUUGAACUGUAUCGUCUCCCUUAUUGUCUCUCUGUCUUGUCCUUGAGUUCUAAUGCGCGUAAGGGUAAGCUUUUUUCCUCGCACUCCUUCAAGUUCCAUUAAUUAGCUCUGUAUUUUAUGGGAGAGAUCCCUUCUUGAUGUGAAUUUCCUCUCAUGGACCAUCUGAUUCCGCGAGCCCCAAAUAACCCAUAAGGCGCAGCAGAAUAAUCGGAUCUGCUCCUUUGUACCCUUGCCAAAGACCCAGGACAUUGCCGAAACACGUGGUAGUUGUCUUCUUCUUCAGAGUAGCAUCGGAGACAACUAGCAUUUGUGAUCACUCUUUUGUAUCUAAGAUUAGCUAGUGAAGAGAUAUAGUUCCAGGAAAUCUGCCAUAUAAGUAUUAAAUUUUUUUAUGGUAGUUGUAAAUUCCAUAAUUUCUUGUAGAAUUCUUUAGUUUCGGCCUGUAAUAAAUAAUUGUUAGGAUCCAAGCUAGCCUCUUGUAAUAGUUUGUAGGCGCUUCGAACUGAAAACUCGCCAGAGUGUUCACCUUUCCACACUUGCAUGUCCUCACAAUCUGUUCUCGCAAGAGGAAUCUGUAAUAUUUUUUGAGUGGUAUCUAUUUGGAAGGUUCAAUCCCUGGUAUCCAUCGGUCAGUCCAAAUAGAUAUUGCAUUUCCUCUCCCAACUCUCCAGUUUAGUCCUUUAAGAAGGAGUCCUUUCGCUGCCCAAAUGCUCCUUCAGGUAAGAGAUAAUCCAGAAAAUUCAAAUACGAAUCUAGAUCGAGGAAAAGAAAAAGUUCGGGAUUAGUAGAUUUUUGCUUACGAACAAGUAUCGAGAGUUAAGAGCUCGGAAGUCAGAUUUGGUCGGAGACACAUCACACUAUCAACCUCAAGAUCUUGGUACAUAAAGAAACUUUAUUUUGGAAAUCAAUGGCAUGUAUAAGCUAGUAAAGUAGAUGUAAAUGUGGAAUGAAUGUAUGGUUAGCCAUUAAUAUGGCUAACAAAUUUUGGUUUUGGCAUGUGAUGAGAUUAUCUUAUGAAUACAAUAAAUCUAUCUUGAAAAUA